AAUUCAAUGUCGUCUGCACGUGUGCGGUCCGUUUGUUAAUGUAGGUAUGAAUUUAGAAUGGCGGCGUUUUGUGAACAUCAAAGGAGUGAGCCUUCUGUACUUGUACUAUUAUAUAUUCUGUGAUUCCACUGAGUUAUUUACAGGAUUAGCCGGGUCCGCACAGAGCGAGGCACGCCGCGAGGCAAUGCAAUGUGCUCACGCGGCGUGCCGCGCUCUGUGUGGACACGGCUACUAACGUCUAAAAAAGCUCUACCGCUAUUUUGUUUUGUAUAAGACGAGGCGUGGUGUGGCGGUAGUGACAUGUUUUUGACGUUUCUCAUUUUCAUGUAAAUUUGGCUUUAUAAUUAUGAUUACUAAGUACAUAUUACAAUCCAACGCAAUUCUAAGCACAGGCUUAAUGUAGGUAGCUAUUUCAUUACCAGCAGGGUUAGCACAUGAUUGCCGCGAGAGUAUGUCACCGCGAGAUAGAUCACACGCCUUCUUCUAACUGUAUUAAUGACAUAAGGACGGGUAGUCUAUCUCGCGACGACAUACUCUCGCGGCAAUCACAUGAUGACGCGGCAGAUGUAGCAGAUGUAUUUAGUAAGAUUAUCUUACUAAAACAUACAGUUCGCCGAGAAGAAACUUAAUGAUAUAAUAAUGUAAAAUAGUUUUAGUGAUUGACAAUAUAAUAGAAUUAAACAUUAUUCUAAGGUUAAUUAAUUAUAAGCAUACCGACGCGACGUCCACUGGAGAGUACUUAGAUUUUGAUUAAUAAACUGCAAUGAAUA